UUCAAACAGCUUUUAUUCACACUAGGACUAGAGGAAAAUCUAAUUCAGUAGAAAACACAAGACAAAAGGAAAUCUUUCAUCCUUUGAAGGAAAAUCACAACAUUAACAACAUUGACAUUAAUUUGGAACACACCAUUGAAUUAUUCAUUCAAUAUUUUCAAAUACAAAAAAGGAAUCCUAAAGAAGGUAAACAUUCCAUGAGCAUGUUCAACAAUGGUAUUGUUAUUAGGUAUUAAUCCUUUAUUAGAUAAUUAUUUUUCACAUCUGGGAAAACAUCACUGGCAGCACAAUUUUAAGAAAAGAAGUUUGGCAACAAGUAUUUUUCUCAGCAGCUCUGGAUGACAGAUUUUGGUGAAUGCUAGCCAAAAAAAUUAAGGGCAAAACCACUGGUGCACAGAGGACAACAAACUGAUCUUAUUACAGAAACAGAUAUCAGACCACAAUAGAAAAGACAUUUUAAUUUUACACAAAGCCAGAAACUCCAGAUUAUUGGCAUACACAUCAACAAGCCUGGUCUAAAGUUGUUUAAUCAUGAGAGUAAUAAAUAUUCGUUUCCUGCCUGCCCUGCCCACCUUGUUUAAAAAUAUCAGGAUAUUUGCUUUCAAAUGACACAAACUGACAAGGUAUAAUCUACAAAAUGGUCAUUCACUUGUAACAGAAUGCUUCUUAUGCCUAGCAACCACUGAAAGGGCAAUUUCAUAUAACCCAGCUAUUGUGGAGAUAGACACUGACAUUGCUUAUCCAGAAAAAGUUUGAGAAUCUUAAAAUUAGAAAAAGCAUAUGUAGAUUUUUAUCUAAAAACAUUUUUUUCAUCCCCAGGAAAGUGUGAUUCCUCUUUAGAUCUCAGAAUUCUUAAUUCCUAAGUUGUUAUAUUACUUCACUUCUACUCAAGUUUAAGUUAAUAAAAGCAACAGCCUGAAGCUGCUGCAAGAUAUCAAGUAUCAUAAAAUGCCAACUCUAAGAAAGGGCACAACCAUGAAGCUUAAAGGACAUGACGACAUUGUCCCACAAAACAUUUGACCCUCCUUUAUUUUAUUUGAUGUUGCAACAUUUGCCUCUAUUGUGCCUAAGGCCCAAACAGAAAAAUAAAAGGCUCCAAUUUUCUUUGAAUAGUCUGGAAAUAAUAUCUUAUUUCCAAAUUAUAUUGAUUUAAAAUUACUCCUCUGGCAUUUUUUCUUCAGGUUAGAGUUUAUGCUUCUGAGUUUACUCAGAAAGGCAUCAUCCAAACGGCAUGGAGAGUAUAUAUAAUCUUCUUACUGCUAUAACUAGUACAACAGAAGUAGGCAGUACCAAGAAUGGUGGGAAACCACAUUUGAGACCAAAAGAAAAAUUCUGUAUUAAUAAAACAAAGUGCCAAAUCCAAGACCGUAGGCCAAAACACAAUAACUGGGUCUAUAUUUUAAAAUAAGAAUAGUAAAAAAAAGUCAAGUAGUUCUUGAAAAGGAAGAGAUAAAAAGGAAGAUAAAGAGAAUCUAUACUAGAGUUUAUGUAAAUUGGCAUGACUCAAAGUAUACCUAGUAGUGUCUCAGAAUAUAAGUUGCCGAGGUUGUUUCUACUUAGGAAACAUAGAGAUUUAAGAAAUUACUCUGAUAGUUUAGAUAUGGCAGUUUGUUAUUGGCAGUUAGACAAGGGAAAGAAGGGUGGAAAGGAAAUUGUUGGUUACUAAGACUGGCCCUGUAUGGUGAAUUCAUCAUGCGUUUGCUAAAAGUUCCAGUUUGAGAAUUAAGAUGGUUUGAGAAAUUGUUACAAUCCUAUUACUCUAUCAUUGAGAUCAAGUCCAAAAAGCCCCAGAUCAACAGUCUAAGUUUCAAUUGUCUGACCCAGCUAUUUCCAACAUAUUAUAACUGACUCAGCUGUUGCAUAAGCCAUUAUAUAAAACCAGCCAUGUAUAUUAUAAAAAACAUAGACUGGAGCUGAUUUGGAGAAAUCAAGUUCUAGAGUCCUAUAUACCAUGUUUAUCUAAAAAAUUUAUACUCUGGACCAUAUGACAAGCAUGUUGUGUUUCAUGAGGCAUUUGAUAGAGUAAAAUCAAGGAGGCAAGGGCUAUGGUUUUCAAUGUAAAUAGGACUGAGAAAAGAAGCCACAGAUAGGCACUUACGUAUUUUAGUGAUGGUACUGAUUCAGGUGAUAUAAUACUCCUAAUACUUCAUUCAAAAGGCAGUAAAUAGUAUAUAAUACUGCUGGAGACCAAAAUAUAAUUGUGUCCUCUGGGAACACAAGAGAUAUUAUAUUUGAUGAAGAUCAUGACCAUGUUGAUGAUCAGUUUUAAAGACAACAAUAAAAUGCCUCCAUUUCUUAGCUUAGAUCAUCUGGUUUUCAUUUCUUUUGGAGGUGAAAAUUCUCUCUUUACGGAAGAGUUAAACAGGUGUUGUUCCCUACUUCUUUUCUUUUUCCUAUUUUCUCAGCAAGUCAUUUCAUUCCUGAAGCAGGAAAAGAAUGUUAAGAUAGAUACACCUAGAAAUGACAAUGUCAAACUCUGACAAAAUGAUUAUUUCCAGCUCAGAAUGAAUUGCUUUUAAGACAGAAAACUUUGGCUUGUUUUGUGGCUAUUAGACAUUUAAUACUUUCACUGAGACAAGUUGAGUGUAAACUUUCAGAAGAUAAAUAGUAAUAAAUAUUUAAAUAAACCACCUUAAACAUAGAUGCUGGCAUAAAAAAUAAGUAUAAAAGUCCUGAUUGAAGAGAAAUUUUCUCCCAGGAGACUUUCCACACGAUAAUUCUAUUUUAUUUCCAUAUGGAAUCUGUGAAGAAAUCCAGUAAAUCCACAAAGCUUUAUGAUUGACCUUUGGAAAUAAAAUAGUACUAAGCUGUUAGGAGAGACCAGCUCUACAGUUUCUGAAAUUGUGUGAGGAGACAUCCUGCUUUCAAAUCCACCACGUUUUCUUUUUCUUUUUUUUUUUUAAAGGUUUUAUUUCUAAGUAAUCUUUACACCCAAUGUGGAGUUGAGCUUACAACCCCAAGAUCAAGAGUUGCAUGCUCUACCAACUGAGCCAGCCAGAUGCCUCACCUAUCCUCAGUGAGAGGAAGGCACAACUUUAAGGUUAACACAAUUCAAGGUGACUUCAAAUAGGCAAUGCCUUCAUUAACACAUUUUGAAGAUCUAGAAAAUUCAGUAACAUUGCUUCACCUCAAUGAUGUCACAGCUAAAAGAAUACAUCAGGCCAAGCAACCGUGUUAACCUGAAAAGUAAAACCAACCAACCAACAAACAAACAAAAAAAAAAAACCCAAACACGAAA